GAGAUCGUUCCUCCCCCACACUAUGCGACUCUGGUGGAGUAAGGCCAUGAUACUGACUCACCAAAAGCCUGACCUUCCAGAAGUGGAGCAUUUAAACUACAAGCAACUCCAGACUGGUGAUUUCACCUGAACUAAUCAUAUGACUCCUAAAGCCAGUUGGCUGCACCGUCAAUGGUUUAAGUAUUACCUGACCACCUCUGACAUCAUUUCUGGUGUCUGUCCCCC